rfam:Triticum urartu cultivar G1812 contig913020, whole genome shotgun sequence.
GAUGUACUCCCUUCGUCCGAAAAUACUUGUCUUCAAAAUGGAUAAAAAAAGGGUGUAUUUAGAACUAAAAUACAUCUAGAUACAUUCCCUUUUAUUCAUUUUGAUGACAAGUAUUUCUGGACAAAAGGAGUACUUG